rnacentral:rRNA from 1 species
GACGAACGCUGGCGGCGUGCUUAACACAUGCAAGUCGAACGGAAAGGCCCUGCUUUUGUGGGGUGCUCGAGUGGCGAAAGGGUGAGUAACACGUGAGUAACCUGCCCUUGACUUUGGGAUAACUUCAGGAAACUGGGGCUAAUACCGGAUAGGAGCUCCUGCUGCAUGGUGGGGGUUGGAAAGUUUCGGCGGUUGGGGAUGGACUCGCGGCUUAUCAGCUUGUUGGUGGGGUAGUGGCUUACCAAGGCUUUGACGGGUAGCCGGCCUGGGAGGGUGACCGGCCACAUUGGGACUGAGAUACGGCCCAGACUCCUACGGGAGGCAGCAGUGGGGAAUAUUGCACAAGGGGCGGAAGCCUGAUGCAGCAACGCCGCGUGCGGGAUGACGGCCUUCGGGUUGUAAACCGCUUUCGCCUGUGACGAAGCGUGAGUGACGGUAAUGGGUAAAGAAGCACCGGCUAACUACGUG